GUGCUGCCCCCAUCGAAUCCAAUUCCGCACUUAGCUCCUCAGCCACCACCAUGGCCAGAGCUGUGUAUGCCUCCUCAGAGCCCAGAGAGGAGGCACACUCAUCAGAGCCAUUCCAGGACCCAGUAGCUAGUCAAACGGAGAUCUCCUAGUCUGUGAUCGGGGCAUGAUUCAACCCCCGAUCGUCAUGCUCCAUAGCAUUCUGAGGUCUACACCAUCCU
rnacentral:lncRNA from 1 species